rnacentral:rRNA from 1 species
CUUGACCUCAAAUCGGGUGAGACUACCCGCUGAACUUAAGCAUAUCAAUAAGCGGAGGAAAAGAAACUAACAAGGAUUCCCCUAGUAACUGCGAGUGAAGCGGGAAAAGCUCAAAUUUAAAAUCUGGCAAUCUUUGAUUGUCCGAGUUGUAAUCUAGAGAA